UUAAGUGAAGAGUUUGAUCAUGGCUCAGAUUGAACGCUGGCGGCAGGCCUAACACAUGCAAGUCGAACGGUAACAGAACUAGCUUGCUAGUUGCUGACGAGUGGCGGACGGGUGAGUAAUGCUUGGGAAUUUGCUUUAGGUGGGGGACAAACAGUUGGAAACGACUGCUAAUACCGCAUGAUAGCUACGGCUCAAAGGGGGCUUCGGCUCCCGCCUUAGAGAGCCAAGUGGGAUUAGGUAGUGGUGAGGUAAAGGCUCACCAAGCCCACGAUCCCUAGCUGGUCUGAGAGGAUGAUCAGCCACACUGGAACUGAGACACGGUCCAGACUCCUACGGGAGGCAGCAGUGGGGAAUAUUGCACAAUGGGCGAAAGCCUGAUGCAGCCAUGCCGCGUGUGUGAAGAAGGCCUUCGGGUUGUAAAGCACUUCAGCGAGGAGGAAAGCUAGUCGUUAAUACCGGCUAGGUGUGAC
rnacentral:rRNA from 1 species